rnacentral:rRNA from 1 species
UACGAGGGGGCAAAUGUUGUUCGGAAUCACUGGGCGUAAAGGGAGCGUAGGCGGUUUCUAAGUCAGGUGUUUAAUUCCCGGGGCCCCAACCCCGGGACAGGCACUUGAAACUGGGAAUCUUGAAUAGUGGAGAGGUCAGUGGAAUUGGGGUGUAGCGGUGGAAUGCGUAGAGAUCCCCAAGAACACCAGUUGCGAAGGCGGCUGACUGGACACAUAUUGACGCUGAGGCUCGAAAGCAUGGGGAGCA